rnacentral:tRNA from 1 species
GUUUUUUUAGUAUAGUAAUACAGAUGACUUCCAAUCAUCUAACCUUGGUGAAACCCCAAGAAAAAACA